GAGGAUGUAGCUCAGUUGGCAGAGCACAUGGUUGUGGCCCAUGUGGUCGCGGGUUCAAGUCCCGUCAUCCUCC
rnacentral:tRNA from 1 species